CUUGAUUUGUCGAGAGAAAAGAGUUACAAAAUGGUGUUUCUGUCUUUGCCAAUUCUUCAUGAUUAGAGCCAGUUAUUGUGCUGCAAGAUUCAUGUAGGAAUAAUAAAAGGAAUCAGCAUGCAUGAGACAAAUUCACAAGGUGAUGAAGGUAUGUAGCUAAUGCAGACAUGAUUCAAGAAUAUGCUUUCCACAUUUAAAGAUGGCAAUCCUGUACCUGAAAUAGUCAUUAGAAGGUGAAGUUCUGGUGAUGCCAUCAGGAGCAAUUUCAUUCCUAUCAACUUCACUCAUUGAUCUUUAUCUUGGUACAGUGGUUAUCAAGUAAAAGUGCCAAAACGGCAGAGAUUUCAUCGUAUAUAAUCUUAUACAAAUAUUUUAGCUACAGGAGAUACAAGGAGGAUUAAGCAGAGAAAGUCAAAGAUUAUGAAACUGUUAGGGACUUGGGUAUUAUGGGGUGCUCAAAGUCGCACAUCGAGUAGUAUGGGAUGUUUGAUAUUGUAUAUAAGGAGAGUGGUUCUUCCCCCUUAACAGCUAGCUUUUAAGGUGUGGUUUUCCACUUUCCUUAGAUACUUAACAAUGGUAUCAGAGCGUGGUUCUCGGCGCCAUGGAAAGGGUUACCUAUAGGUUGGAUUAAGGUGAAUACCGAAUACUGAUAGACCGUAGCAAAGUGGCUACCGGUGUCGAUAGAGUGAAUCCUAGUGGCAUAUACACAUUAAAAAGUUCUCUCUAAUUUUCCAACUACCUCUUUUUCCCAUUUGGUAUUUAAUAUUUAUGCUGUUCAUAUUGUAAACAUUAUUUGAUCUUUGUUUGGUAAGUAUUAAGCUCGAUGGAGUGUAAGCUUGAAAACACUUCAUCAGAAGUUGUUUGUUUUACUUUCUUGGAAGAAGAGUCUUCGGGUUAAAGUGAAACACUGUUGUAGUUGUACUAGCUUAGCUUCUUGGUGGUGUUGUUUGACUGAAAUUCUAUUAUUUAACCUAAGGCUGAAAUUUGUAUG